GGGAACUAUACAAAAUGCAUGAAAUUCAAAUCCAGUUGCAGAACGGUCAAGAAUUUGAUUCAUUCUGUUAUUUAAGAAACAUAGAAAGUACCAUUUGUAAAUUUCUGGUAUUGGAUCAGAUUUUAACUAUCUCAACAAGACUGGCAUAUUGAUUCUGAUCAUCAGUGUGAAUAAAUGGGCAAACUGCAGAGAUUUUGAGAUUGCGCUGAUUGUAAUACCUGAUUUGUGUAUGUUUUGCAGUGAAACUCAUACAGCAAAAAAUCGAGGUCACACCAUAUCCUGCAAUCAGAUAUUUCUUGGUCCUGCUUAACGUGUGACAUCUGUGAAGGGGUUAACAUGUAUAAAGCUACUGCUUGCGCAGGCAGAAGAAGGUGUCCUUGGGACAGAAGUGACUCAAGGGGGAAAGAAGAUGCAGUGCUUUUAACAUAAUAUCUUUUUAGAGGGUUUUGGCAGAAGAUUCUCUUGUGGCAUCUGACUGCACAGGAGUUGUCUCCCUCCUGCUGGCAAGCACAGCUUCACUUACACUUGGUUGAAUUAAUAUCUUCCAUUUAAUACAUGGAGUUGGUUUUCUAAUUCCUCUCCUGAAUUCUUCAAUACUAGUAAUAUAAACAACAGACAAAACACAGAACGUGUCCGAGGGACUGAGUUGAAAAAUAAAAAAAGAGGCAAAGAUAACUUUUUGACCAGUUACACUUCACUUGUGUUCUCCACUGGUUCUCCAGCUUCCACAGAGCAGUAAUUUGUUUGAGUGAAACGUUUGCUUGUGCGUGCAUCUUGAAGGCCAUCACUAUCAGUGAUGUGUUCUGCAGACACAUUUGAGGUAAAACAUAAUUAUUAUCUUUCAUGGCAAAAACACAACAGUUUCCAGUUACUGCUUGCAAAUACCAAAGCACAGCAGAAGCUGCAAUUUACUUUAUCCGUUUCAGUUAUCAAUACUCUAAACAUCUCUUUUUUUUAUUAGAUGAGGUAGGCAGACGUGCCAAGUCCCAGUGCAGUAGCACAUUACAAGAAACUUGUGGUUAG
rnacentral:lncRNA from 1 species